rnacentral:rRNA from 1 species
ACUCCUACGGGAGGCAGCAGUGGGGAAUAUUGCACAAUGGGCGCAAGCCUGAUGCAGCCAUGCCGCGUGUAUGAAGAAGGCCUUCGGGUUGUAAAGUACUUUCAGCAGUGAGGAAGGUGGGUAUGUUAAUAGCAUAUUUCAUUUUGGACGUUUAGCUGCAGAAGAAGCACCGGCUAACUCCGUGCCAGCAGCCGCGGUAAUACGGAGGGUGCGAGCGUUAAUCGGAAUUACUGGGCGUAAAGCGCAUGCAGGUGGUUUGUUAAGUCAGAUGUGAAAGCCCGGGGCUCAACCUCGGAAUUGCAUUUGAAACUGGCAAACUAGAGUACUGUAGAGGGGGGUAGAAUUUCAGGUGUAGCGGUGAAAUGCGUAGAGAUCUGAAGGAAUACCGGUGGCGAAGGCGGCCCCCUGGACAGAUACUGACACUCAGAUGCGAAAGCGUGGGGAGCAAACAGGAUUAGAUACCCUGGUAGCUACGAGU